UUGAAAGGGAAACGAUUGAAGUCAGUCGUAUCGACGAGAAAUCAACUUUUCGAGUGCGAAUUUGUGGGCGUGCGUGAGCUGUUAAAGGCCUCGCUGCUUGCAAUUAGUGCUCUUUUGGUGUACUUUCUCGUGGGUAGGUUAACAUCGAUUUUGAUCAUCAUAAAAAGAUUGGAGGAAUGUAGCUUCGAUCUUGUAUUGAAGUGUUAUAGCCUUUGGUAAAUGUGAUGAUUAGGAUCGAGGAUUGCAACGAAUACCCUUUUGGGCUAUCCGCCUGAUCUCUGAUACGUGGCCUUGGUAUCGAAAGCGUGCUUAUGGUAUUGAGGUAUUACGGUCAAAAGGUUAGAACGGAUUACAUUCGUUAAGGAUGUUGACGUA
rnacentral:rRNA from 1 species